rnacentral:misc_RNA from 1 species
UGAGUUGGAAUCAUCUCUAAAAGUAGAAAGAUUUAAAAUCCUGGCACCACGUUUCAUUGCAUGGAGGACUUCUCUAGGGAAAUAAGGGUCACCAUCCUGGAAAAUUCGAAGAACAAGCAUAAGAGAUUUGAGGGCAACGAUCCAAUUCCUGGUUUUGCCAAUCCUUCUGCCAAUGGCUUGUGCACAAGAAGCUGCAUAAACUUUGCUUGAAGAUAUAAGAUUGA